rnacentral:rRNA from 1 species
UACAGAGGUCUCAAGCGUUGUUCGGAUUCAUUGGGCGUAAAGGGUGCGUAGGUGGCGCCAUAAGUCGGAUGUGAAAGCCCUGGGCUCAACCCAGGAAGUGCACUCGAUACUGUAUGGCUUGAGUACUGGAGAGGUUGGUGGAAUUCUCGGUGUAGAGGUGAAAUUCGUAGAUAUUCGCAAGAACACCAGUGGCGAAGGCGGCCAACUGGACCAACACUGACGCUGAGGCGCGAAAGCGUGGGGAGCAAACAGGG